GAUGAAGAACGUAGCGAAAUGCGAUAAGUAAUGUGAAUUGCAGAAUUCAGUGAAUCAUCGAGUCUUUGAACGCACAUUGCGCCCCCUGGUGUUCCGGGGGGCAUGCCUGUCCGAGCGUCAUUGCUGCCCUCAAGCACGGCUUGUGUGUUGGGCCCCCGUCCCCGGUUUCCCCCGGGGACGGGCCCGAAAGGCAGCGGCGGCACCGCGUCCGGUCCUCGAGCGUAUGGGGCUUCGUCACCCGCUCUUGUAGGCCCGGCCGGCGCUUGCCGACACAUCAAUCUUUUUUCCAGGUUGACCUCGGAUCAGGUAGGGAUACCCGCUGAACUUAAGCAUAUCAAUAAGCGGAGGA
rnacentral:misc_RNA from 1 species